rnacentral:rRNA from 1 species
GUGGGGAAUAUUGGACAAUGGGCGAAAGCCUGAUCCAGCCAUGCCGCGUGUGUGAAGAAGGUCUUCGGAUUGUAAAGCACUUUAAGUUGGGAGGAAGGGCAGUAAGUUAAUACCUUGCUGUUUUGACGUUACCGACAGAAUAAGCACCGGCUAACUUCGUGCCAGCAGCCGCGGUAAUACGAAGGGUGCAAGCGUUAAUCGGAAUUACUGGGCGUAAAGCGCGAGUAGGUGGUUUUGUAAGUUGGAGGUGAAAUCCCCGGGCUCAACCUGGGAACUGCCUCCAAAACUGCAUGACUAGAGUACGGUAGAGGGUAGUGGAAGUUCCUGUGUAGCGGUGAAAUGCGUAGAUAUAGGAAGGAACACCAGUGGCGAAGGCGACUACCUGGACUGAUACUGACACUGAGGUGCGAAAGCGUGGGGAGCAAACAGGAUUAGAAACCCCGGUAGUCC